CCAGGGGCCAGCAAAGGACUCAGAAGAAGUCAAUAUCACCAACAUCAUCAACAGCUCCAUCUCCAGCUUUAAACGAAAGAUCAGCUUCGCCAGCAUUGAAAUUUCUGGCGACAAUGUCAACUACAGCGACCUGACGAUGAAAGCCAGCGACAAGUUUAAGUUUGUCUUCCGAGAAAAGAUCGGCAGAAUCAUUGAUUACUUCACAAUUCAAAAUCCCAGCAACGUGGAUCGAUAUUCUAAACUACUGUUUCCUUUGAUUUUUAUGUUGGCCAAUGUAUUUUACUGGGCAUACUACAUGUAUUUUUGAGAUGCCAUUGAACUCUUGCAUGCCAUGUGUUUUUAACGGAAUAACAACGAUGCUCAGGGUAGUCCAGGACAUGUGUGUGCACUUCAGAUUAGAAAUGGGCUAAUGUAACGAUUAUUCAAAGUUGUGUAGAAGUCCUAGUGCGACCAGAUUCUAUAGUAGAGUCAUUAUGAAGCAAGCCUUUCUUCUUCAAUUUUGGACAGAACCACCUACUUGCAAACCUACUCAGAGUUAGUAUCAGGUACAUAAAACACGAAGAAGUUUUGAAACUUAUUCUAGAAUUCCUAAUACAGGAUGCUGCCAUGAAGACUUGCUGGGUCAAGUCUCUUAGUUAGUCACCUUGACUCCACAUACUAGCGAGGUACCAAGUAGACCAGAGUACUCUGUCAACUGCUUGUCUCCGUUGACCUGUUGACCAAAAUGUUGGAGUAUUUACCAGUGGCAAAUGUCCUGUUUCCUUCCAGGAGGAGCUUUCAUCCCUGGGCUCCAGUGACCAGGCAGGAGUGAUCUCUAUUCAAUAAGGAGCCAGAGUACCCAGAUAUAAGUAGCUUAUCUUAAAUAGAUACCUUUCCCCCAACCUUUCUAGCUGAACUGCUUUGAGUGGCUUAUCCUGAGUGAGCAGCUGACCACUGGCCCUGAACAGUCCUGACUGUUCUGCAUUGUACAACCCACAUGGGCUGUCUCUUCUGAGUUCAGCCAGACUCACCCUGACCAAGGAGCUCAUGUGUGCCUCUCUCCCUCUUGCUCCUCAAGAGUCGCCUAUCCGAGGUUCUAAUUCCGCCUCAAUUAUUUCAAAGACUCUUGCCAUCUUCAGUUCUUUAGCCUCCUUUUCUAAUGAACCCUCAGCUUUCCCUGUCCUUUCUACACCAACACAGAGCUUUAGAUGGUCUUUCCUUUCAUGUCCGUUGGCCAUGGGCUCUCCUUCCCAUGAUCAUGGUUCUGCUCAUAAUUCCAUCUCCGUGAGCUUGAUUGCCUGGCGCUUAGCAAAUGUUCCUGCUCAGAAUUCUCUGUGUUCAUUGGAGUACACCCUUGAGCUAGGUGUAGUUACACUAUUAGAGUUCUUAGUAAAAUCUCUUUGUAUUUUGUAUCUGUCAUAUGCGUUCCUAAGGAGUGGGGUUAGGAGAGGGGGAAAUGUGGUUGAGUGAUUCAAUCAUAUUUGUGAUUUUUUUUUAUAAAAAUGUUUAAAACAUAACUUCACCGAGGCCUCAUUUAAGCUACUGAAUAAUGCAAAUUGUAAAUAUGUGGAACUAUAAAAAUAAAUACAUCGUACGAGC
rnacentral:lncRNA from 1 species